AGGCCAUGGUGUGGACAAUCUCUCAAAAGGUCUUUAUAUCUCUCCCAGGCUUCAAAAAGUGAUUCACCUUCGUUUUGAGUGAACAUAUUAAUUAGGUUUCUAAGGAC